ensembl:snoRNA SNORD30 Small nucleolar RNA SNORD30
UGACAUGAUGAUCUCACUUGGAAUCUCGUUCGGCUGAAUUUUGCUGUUGAGAAGCGGAAUCUGAGCAUC